CUACGGGACGCUCCAGUGGGGAAUAUUGCACAAUGGACGAAAGUCUGAUGCAGCAACGCCGCGUGGAGGAUGACACAUUUCGGUGCGUAAACUCCUUUUAUAUAAGAAGAUAAUGACGGUAUUAUAUGAAUAAGCACCGGCUAACUCCGUGCCAGCAGCCGCGGUAAUACGGAGGGUGCAAGCGUUAUUCGGAAUCACUGGGCGUAAAGGGUGCGUAGGCGGUUUGGAAAGUCAGAUGUGAAAGCCUACAGCUUAACUGUAGAACUGCAUUUGAAACUUCCAGACUAGAAUACUGAAGGGGCAGAUGGAAUUAGUGGUGUAGGGGUAAAAUCCGUAGAUAUCACUAGGAAUACCGAAAGCGAAAGCGAUCUGCUGGGAAGUUAUUGACGCUGAGGCACGAAAGCGUGGGGAGCAAACGGGAUUAGAUACCCGGGUAGUC
rnacentral:rRNA from 1 species